rnacentral:rRNA from 1 species
UACGUAGGGUGCAAGCGUUGUCCGGAAUUAUUGGGCGUAAAGAGCUUGUAGGCGGUUUGUCGCGUCUGCUGUGAAAUUUCGGGGCUCAACCCCGAACUUGCAGUGGGUACGGGCAGAGUAGAGUGUGGUAGGGGAGACUGGAAUUCCUGGUGUAGCGGUGAAAUGCGCAGAUAUCAGGAGGAACACCGAUGGCGAAGGCAGGUCUCUGGGCCAUAACUGACGCUGAGAAGCGAAAGCAUGGGGAGCGAACAGG